rnacentral:rRNA from 1 species
GUCCUGGCAGUAAACGGUGCACGUUUGGUGUGGGCGCAUUCGACCGCGUCCGUGCCGGAGCUAACGCGUUAAACGUGCCGCCUGGGAAGUACGGUCGCAAGAUUAAAACUCAAAGAAAUUGACGGGGACCCGCACAAGCGGUGGAGUAUGUGGCUUAAUUCGAUGCAACGCGAAGAACCUUACCUGGGUUUGACAUGUAUUGUGUCUCCGAUGAAAGUCGGAUAGUGUAGCAAUACACGCUUUACACAGGUGCUGCAUGGCUGUCGU